rnacentral:rRNA from 1 species
UACGGGGGGGGCAAGCGUUGUUCGGAAUUACUGGGCGUAAAGGGCUCGUAGGUGGUCAACUAAGUCGGACGUGAAAUCCCUCGGCUUAACCGGGGAACUGCGUCCGAUACUGGAUGACUUGAGUUCGGGAGAGGGAUGCGGAAUUCCAGGUGUAGCGGUGAAAUGCGUAGAUAUCGGAAGGAACACCAGUGGCGAAAGCGACUUCCUGGUCCAAUACUGACGUUCAUGUGCGAAAGCGUGGGGAGCAAACAGG